GACGUAGGGCGCGAGCGUUGUCCGGAUUUAUUGGGCGUAAAGAGCUCGUAGGCGGCUUGUCGCGUCGAAUGUGAAAACUCGGGGCUCAACUCCGAGCUUGCAUUCGAUACGGGCAGGCUAGAGUUCGGUAGGGGAGACUGGAAUUCCUGGUGUAGCGGUGAAAUGCGCAGAUAUUAGGAGGAACACCGGUGGCGAAGGCGGGUCUCUGGGCCGAUACUGACGCUGAGGAGCGAAAGCGUGGGGAGCGAACAGG
rnacentral:rRNA from 1 species